AGGAUCAGGAGUCCGUGGAUGCUGGAGGGAUGCUGCUGCUCCCUUACAGGUGCUGCCUUUAGGACAGUCUGAGAGGAGACUCUGUGCAGCUGUGAGGCUCCUUGGGAGGAAAGAUGAGCUCUUCUAGCUGCCUUGCUGUUUCAAUGACUGUGGUCUGCAUGGUCCUGCAAAGAUGCUCCAUGUUUCAGACAUUUCUCAUGGCCCAGAAAGAAGAAACUGAAAAUAGUUUGGGGGAAUUCUGAAUUCUCCAAAUCCCAAGGAUGCCCUAGGACUUGAACCCACUGGACCAGCUGUCCUUCUCUUGUUGAGUUUGUCCAUGCUGUUCUCCAGCCAACUGAAAUGCUUUAAGGCUGGAAGGACAUAAUCUGCAAAGGUCUAGCCAGCACAGCAAGGAAACAAGGUGUUGUGAAGUGCAGCUUGUGAAACUUGCACAUUGUGAGCAGGAGCAGAGCCCCUGGAGCAAGGAAGAGACCUGAUCCAAGGCAGGGGAAACUCCUUGUUCUCUUGUCACUGUAAUGCUGAUCUGUCAGUCUCUGCUGGUAAAAUCACAGGGCUUCUUGUCAUUAACAAGAAGCUGAGGGUGACUGGAACAGCCUCAGCUCCUGAAGUAAGGCUGAUGAGUGUGCAGAGCAAUGUCCUCUUUUUGCCUUCUGCCUCGGAUUACGUGGGUGUGCUGCACUCCAGGCAGGAUUGCUGAAUAUUACAUAUUGAACUAUACUGCCUUCAGAGAAAUAGCACCUCACUGAAAGCAUUCCCAAAGGUCACUGAUUGCAGUAUGAGCUCUGACUGGAUGUGUUAGAUAAAGAUUGAGCAGAGCUGUCAAGGACAAUUUUCAUUCCUGUCCUACUCCAGGAAAUUUAGACAUGCCAUUGGAAAUCUCACAGCCUGGAAAAUUAGGGACACAAGAGGCUUUUUCCCACAGAGAAGAGAAUCUUAUUUUUUUCACUCAAAAACCAAAAUGCUGUCAAUGAUAUUCUAAUAAGUGGUCAUUUUUUCUCUCAGCAAAAUUCCAGUUUUUCAUCAGAAAUAUUUUUCUGGAAUUGUUUUUAUUGAUACUCUCCACAUGCAGGGCAGAGACUUAUAGAAAAUCAGCUGAAGCUUCUAUGCUAUUCAGUUUGCCCUCCCCUGUUUGGCUCAUUUCCCCACCUUACACCAUAACAUAGCUGGCUAUCCUUGGACCUUGAGAGGUUGUGUUUCUUGCCACAGGUCAUCAGGGGUUGGUUACACCAAUGCAUGGCUCUUCUGUUUGGUCAGAUUGAUGGCUUCAGUCUGAAAUGUUACUUUUCCUACUUCACCUGGAAGUAGCAGAAUCUUUUGUUGUUGUAAUGGUCAGCCAUGGUAAAAACAUGAACAACAUAAUGUUUCUUUGGAUGACUGAUGGUAAUUUGAGUUGGUUCUUUCUGCUGUCUUUAAUACACAGCAGGUAUAAUAAUUAGGGAAAGUGCCUUUUCCCAGUCCUAGCAGGCUUUCCUCCAAGGCAUGACAAGUACUGUGUUUGCACACACUGAAAGGAUCACACAGCUGCAGUAGAUCUUUCUUGUUUGUUCUUCUUUGAGGUCAUGGCACAGCUUGCAGAGCAAGGAGGCGUGUGACUGGAACAUUCAGAAUAACUCAUCUCACUACAUCUCCCAGAUGGAUUUCCUAGUUCUGGGCAUGUCCUGCUCAGCUCUUCCCAUUGCUUGUGCUUGACCCCAGCCUCUUGUGUUACAAAAUCUUAGGCACUCAAAGUACAUUGCACUUUAUAUCACUGUGUCUCCUGUUAUUUCAGGGAAUCUGUCUUUUUGUGGCAAGCACCAGCAAGGAGAAAAUUGGCAAGAAACUAUGUCCUUGUGUGCUCAGGGAUGGCAUAAUGAUAGAUCUCCUGCAGCUCAGAGGAUUUUGCUAUUUAUUUAGUAAGUUUCUGCACUUUUAGCAUAAAUUUUCAUGGUACUUAUGAACGGAGAAAUAUUUCAUUGAAUGAGAGAAUCAGCUUCAAGAAAGUAUUCAGAAUGAAAGUAAUAAAAAGAAGUAGCCAACUGGGAUCUCAGUCAAUUUCUGAAGUCUCUUCACGUUCAUUUUCCAGCAAUUCAUUCAUCCUACUCCACUUUCCACAAGAUUGUUCAAAUUUAAAAGUGAUCAUUCAAAGGCAAAGAGAAGAUCCUUGGCACUAGAAAGGCUACUGUGCCCAAGGUACCCUGCAACUCCAGUGUACAUAUCAGCAUUAUCUCAUUAUCAUACAUAUCAGCAUUAUUGCAUCCCCAUAACCAGGUUUUCUCUUCAGAUUUGUUAAUGGAACCUUACAAAUCAAAUACACAUGACUUCAGGGUCCAGCUCAUACCUGGUAGAUAUCCCAGUAGUACAUUACAGCAAUAUUUCCAUCCCUGGAGCAGAGCUUCAGUCACCCAAGCACAGAUGUUGUGUGCAUGACUUCAGCUGCCACCCCCAGGACGUGAGGAUCUCAUGCAGAUCCCUCACUGUAUCUGCCAACCACACAGGAAUUUCUCUCUCUGUCUUUAGAAAUCUUCUCUGUAAUGGCUUUUCUCCCUCUAAGGUUGCUGCUGAAAUAGCUGAAAUGGUCUCUCUGAUCAGAGCACAUCUAUGUUGUGUCCUUACCGGUGUAUCUUCUCCUUGACUAUGGACACAUAUGAAAAAGUUUUGCUCCAUAGAAGUAUGGGUCUUCUUUUCAAAGGCAGAAACUGCUUAAUGUCUGUAUAAUUCAUCUGAUUGCUUUGCUCCUAUUUUGUAUGCUAGUUGAAAUACACAUUUCUGCUCUAAUGCUUCUUCCUAGCCCCUAUGUGCACUUUGCCUUCUUUCCUUUUCUGUCUUUUCCAGCAGUUUCUUCUCCAGGUUUAUGUCCCUGAGUCUCAUUCCACUCAGGACACGAUUUCACAGACCCUCUGGAAGUGUUUAAGUUUGAUUUAACACAGACAAUGCUAUUGCUUAUCUUUUUGCUGGUAUCUUUUAGGAGCUUUAUUCUUUCAAAUAAAAUAAUUUGUAUUAAGAAGUUAGCCUAGAAAUAAGACCUUAGCCCUAUAACAAUCAUGUUCUUGUCAGCUAUUCAACAAACCCAGUGUCACCUAACAAGCAAUGUUAAAAAAUACUCCUCUGUUGUAAAAAAUGGAAAGCAGGAGCUUUCUUGGAAAAUUGUAUGAUUUGUGAUUUCUUACACCCUAAAAAGAAAAAAAAAAAGUAUUAGAAAGACAUUGCCUGAAAUAAAUAAAUUAAAUUAAUAACAAUUUUCCUGAUGCUCUU